UACGAAGGGGGCUAGCGUUGCUCGGAAUCACUGGGCGUAAAGCGCACGUAGGCGGGUCCUUAAGUCAGGGGUGAAAUCCUGGAGCUCAACUCCAGAACUGCCCUUGAUACUGAGGAUCUCGAGUUCGGGAGAGGUGAGUGGAACUGCGAGUGUAGAGGUGAAAUUCGUAGAUAUUCGCAAGAACACCAGUGGCGAAGGCGGCUCACUGGCCCGAUACUGACGCUGACGG
rnacentral:rRNA from 1 species